GUGAGUCAUCGAAUCUUUGAACGCACAUUGCGCCCGCCAGUAUUCUGGCGGGCAUGCCUGUUCGAGCGUCAUUUCAACCCUCAAGCCCCAGCGCUUGGUGUUGGGGAACGGCCUCCCCCGGGAAAAGCACCUCGGUGCCCCCGGACGCCGCCCCCGAAAUGAAUUGGCGGUCUCGUCGCGGCCUCCUCUGCGUAGUAGCACAACCUCGCAUACGGAGCGCGACGCGGCCACUGCCGUAAAACGCACAAACUUUUUUUAGAGUUGACCUCGAAUCAGGUAGGAAUACCCGCUGAACUUAAGCAUAUCAAUAAGCGGAGGA
rnacentral:misc_RNA from 1 species